GACAGAGGUCCCAAGCGUUAUGCGGAAUCACUGGGCUUAAAGCGUGUGUAGGCGGACUUGUAAGUACCUUGUGAAAUCCCACGGCUCAACCGUGGAACUGCUGGGUAUACUGCGAGUCUUGAGCCACCUAGGGGCGAGCGGAACAAGUGGUGGAGCGGUGAAAUGCGUAGAUAUCACUUGGAACGCCAAUGGUGAAAACAGCUCGCUGGGGGUGUGCUGACGCUGAGACACGAAAGCCAGGGGAGCAAACGGG
rnacentral:rRNA from 1 species